rnacentral:lncRNA from 1 species
CCCACAGGAAGUGACGGCAGAGGGGCUGCGGUGGAGGGGCGGGGCCUAGCGGAGCCGGGAGCAGGUAUCGCGAGAGCGCGAGAGGUGGCUCUGGACCUCGUGAGUCUUCCCGAGCCUCUGAAGAAGCUACCGUAAUAUUUACAAAAAUCACAACAUGCUUGUUACCUUUGAAUUUCCUGUGGAAGAUGACUUUUGCGGGGUUGAAAGAGCAUGAUGAUUCUCCGGGUACAAAGACUUCCGUGUGGCUGGGAAACUACCAGAAUGCACGCUGAUGAAAGUACAUUCAGGAAGUACAGAGACAGUCCUGUGGUCUGAAGCUUUCAUUUCUGAAGUCCCAUCAGUGUAUCUGCCUCUUCACAGAUGAGAAGGCUGUAUUAUCUUUGUUCAAGGUAAGCCCUUAAUGUUAUCUUUUUCAGUCAAAUCUAGCCACUUAACCACUUUGAGCACCG